UACGUAGGGUGCGAGCGUUGUCCGGAAUUAUUGGGCGUAAAGAGCUUGUAGGCGGUCUGUCGCGUCUGCUGUGAAAAUCCGGGGCUCAACCCCGGACUUGCAGUGGGUACGGGCAGACUAGAGUGUGGUAGGGGAGACUGGAAUUCCUGGUGUAGCGGUGAAAUGCGCAGAUAUCAGGAGGAACACCGAUGGCGAAGGCAGAUCUCUGGGCCGUAACUGACGCUGAGGAGCGAAAGCAUGGGGAGCGAACAGG
rnacentral:rRNA from 1 species